rnacentral:rRNA from 1 species
GAUGAACGCUGGCGGCGUGCCUAAUACAUGCAAGUCGAGCGAACAGACGAGGAGCUUGCUCCUCUGACGUUAGCGGCGGACGGGUGAGUAACACGUGGAUAACCUACCUAUAAGACUGGGAUAACUUCGGGAAACCGGAGCUAAUACCGGAUAAUCUAUUGAACCGCAUGGUUCAAUAGUGAAAAACGGUUUUGCUGUCACUUAUAGAUGGAUCCGCGCCGCAUUAUCUAGUUGGUAAGGUAACGGGUUACCAAGGCAACGAUGCGUAGCCGAUCUGCGAGGGUGAUCGGCCAAACUGGAACUGAACACCGCUCCAGACUCCUAGGGGAGGAAGCAGUAGGGAAUCUUCCGCAAUGGGGGAAAGCCUGACGGAGAAACGCCGCGUGAGUGAUGAGGGUCUUCGGAUCGUAAAACUCUGUUAUUAGGGAAGAACAAAUGUGUAAGUAACUAUGCACGUCUUGACGGUACCUAAUCAGAAAGCCACGGCUAACUACGUG